UACGUAGGGGGCUAGCGUUGUCCGGAUUUAUUGGGCGUAAGGAGCGUGUAGGCGGCCAGGUAGGUCUGCUGUGAAAACUCGAGGCUCAACCUCGAGACGUCGGCGGAAACCAUCUGGCUAGAGUCCGGAAGAGGAGAGUGGAAUUCCUGGUGUAGCGGUGAAAUGCGCAGAUAUCAGGAAGAACACCCGUGGCGAAGGCGGCUCGCUGGGACGGUACUGACGCUGAGACGCGAAAGCGUGGGGAGCGAACAGG
rnacentral:rRNA from 1 species